rnacentral:rRNA from 1 species
UACGUAGGUGGCGAGCGUUGUCCGGAAUUACUGGGUGUAAAGGGCGUGUAGGCGGGAAUGUAAGUCAGAUGUGAAAUACCAUGGCUUAACUGUGGAACUGCAUCUGAAACUAUGUUUCUUGAGUGCUGGAGAGGAAAGCGGAAUUCCUAGUGUAGCGGUGAAAUGCGUAGAUAUUAGGAGGAACACCAGUGGCGAAGGCGGCUUUCUGGACAGUAACUGACGCUGAGGCGCGAAAGCGUGGGGAGCAAAC